AUCUCUCACAGGAGUGACUCUCAAGAUGGAAGACACAUUGACUGGGGCCACUGUGGUGUCGUUAAACAUUUCUGUGAGCACAGUUUCAUUUCCUCUGUACCACUUCACUUUGAGCUUCUGCACAGGAGCCACAUUGAUGAUGUCACAUUCCAGCAGGAAGUCUGUGCCCUCCACCAUCGGACCAGGAUUCCUGGCAGAGGCUGACACAAUAUCUGGAGUCUCUGUAAAUAAAGCUGUGGUUUUCCAGUCUGGAUCCAGUAUAUCCCAUCAUGAUCAUAAGUUGCGCUGGAGCAGUUUACCAAGACUGAACGUCCAUAUUCUCCUAUAACCACAGGAGGAUCGAGCUCAAUUGGGCACAUAUUUUCUGCAUCUGUGGAUAGACAAAUGAGCUCUCACCUCCAUGGCAAGGGCCCCCUCCUGCUCCAGUUGGCUCCGGAGGUUCUCCAGCUGUUCCUGCUGCCGUCUGAGCUCCGCCCUUAGCGCUGCCACCUCCGAGUGGUUGGCAGUAGCAGACUGCGUGUUCAAACACAGCGCACCUGUCAGUUUUUGCUGUGGAACAAUGAAGGUGUACGAGCAACGGCCUGCCUUUGCAUCCAAAGACUGUGAUGAGCGUUUCUGGGUGCUCUCGCCAUGAGUCCUGUCCUUCUGUCCUCCAGCUUCUGGAAGGUCCACGCACAGUGUUAAAAAAAGAGUCAGACCUACUGUUAGUGCCUUCUCCAUGAAAUCUGUUAAACUUCUGAGGACACCCUGGUAGCAGAGGAAAGGAAAUGAUUAGAAUUACCACAGCGAUAACAACACAAAACUUACACCAAUGAAUGAUCCAGAAACACUUAAGACAUAAACUUUAUAUUCAUGUGGGUCUUGACUGUUCACCAGAUGUUUCCUUGCAAAGUGAAAGUGGCUGGAAUUUAUUGGCAGGUCAACAUCCAGAAUCAACACACCUCGUUCUCUCAGUCAACACAACAGUUAGCUCCAUCUCCAACCACAGCAACCAUGGUCAACAUCAUAAACAAAUGAAUCCAAAGGUCAAUACUGACAUCUGACCACAAAAUCUCAACACAUCAAACACUGGUACCAAUUGUGUAUGUCUACACUUCUGAAUAAAAAACAAUAGUGGAUCAUACUGACAAGACAUGUGAACACUCACAGUUCAGGACUCACCGCAGCAGCUGAAAAGUGUUAAGGACGUCUUUGUCCUCCUCUGUGUGUAGCUGCAGCUCCCAGGAUGCACAGAUGUCAAAUAAAAUGCAUUUUAAAAAUCAAAUGUUCAAUGAUCAUUUGAAGAGUCACGUGAAACGAGCCGCUUCUUCCAAAAGUCAUCUGUGGCCCUCCGUAAAUGAUGAAGUGAAGAUGAAGGCAGAGAAACAGAAUGGCGCCCAAGCUUUGCCAGUUGCUAGA